rnacentral:tRNA from 1 species
AAGUCUUAAAAGCUUUAAGCAUUCUAUUUUGUAAGUAGGGAGAAAUCAAGGAUAUUUGAUUUAAGACUUG